rnacentral:rRNA from 1 species
CACGGGGGGAGCAAGCGUUGUUCGGAAUCACUGGGCGUAAAGGGCGUGUAGGCGGUUUGGUAAGUGGAAUGUGAAAUCCCUCGGCUUAACCGAGGAACUGCCCUCCAAACUGCUUCGCUUGAGACCGGGAGAGGUGAGUGGAAUUCCCAGUGUAGCGGUGAAAUGCGUAGAUAUUGGGAGGAACACCAGUGGCGAAGGCGGCUCACUGGACCGGUACUGACGCUGAUGCGCGAAAGCGUGGGGAGCAAACGGG